rnacentral:rRNA from 1 species
AGAGUUUGAUUCUGGCUCAGAACGAACGCUGGCGGCGCGUUUUAAGCAUGCAAGUCGAGCGGCAAGGGGGGCUUCGGCCCCCCCUAGAGCGGCGGACGGGUGAGUAACACGUGGACAAUCUGCCCCCCGGCCGGGGAUAGCCCAGGGAAACCUGGAUCAAUACCGGAUGCGAGGGCGGCCGCACAAGCGGCCGUCGGGAAAGGCGCUUCGGCGCCGCCGGGGGAUGGGUCCGCGUCCCAUUAGCUAGACGGUGGGGUAACGGCCCACCGUGGCGAUGAUGGGUAGCCGGCCUGAGAGGGUGGACGGCCACAUUGGAACUGAGACACGGUCCAGACUCCUACGGGAGGCAGCAGCUAAGAAUCUUCCGCAAUGGGCGAAAGCCUGACGGAGCGACGCCGCGUGAACGAAGAAGGCCGUGAGGUUGUAAAGUUCUUUUCGGGAGGGGGAACGAGGCUGCCAGGCAAUGGGCGGCCGAUGACGUGAAUCCCGGAAUAAGCCCCGGCUAACUACGUGCCAGCAGCCGCGGUAACACGUAGGGGGCGAGCGUUGUUCGGAAUCAUUGGGCGUAAAGGGCGUGCAGGCGGCCGCCAAAGUCCGGCGUGAAAGACCCAGGCUCAACCUGGGGGGUGCGCCGGAUACUGGGCGGCUUGAGUACAGGAGGGGACGGCGGAAUUCCAGGUGUAGGGGUGAAAUCUGUAGAUAUCUGGAGGAACACCGAUGGCGAAGGCAGCCGUCUGGCCAUGUACUGACGCUGAGGCGCGAAGGUGCGGGGAGCAAACAGGUUUAGAUACCCUGGUAGUCCACGCCGUAAACGAUGGAUACUAGGUGUAGGGGGUAUCGACUCCCUCUGUACCGUAGCAAACGCAUUAAGUAUCCCGCCUGAGUAGUACGGUCGCAAGGCUAAAACUCAAAGAAAUAGACGGGGACCCGCACAAGCAGCGGAGCAUGUGGUUUAAUUCGAAGCAACGCGAAGAACCUUACCAAGGCUUGACAUCUAUAUGACCUUCCUAGAAACAGGAACUCUCUUCGGAGCAUAUAGACAGGUGGUGCACGGUUGUCGUCAGCUCGUGUCGUGAGAUGUUUGGUUAAGUCCAGCAACGAGCGCAACCCUUAUCAUUAUUUGCCAAUAUUAAGUUAGGAACUAUAGUGAGACUGCCGUAGAUAAUACGGAGGAAGGUGGGGAGGACGUCAAAUCAUCAUGCCCCCCACGUCUUGGGCUACACACGUGCUACAAUGGCUAUUACAAAGAGCAGCGAUAUAGCAAUAUGGAGCAAAUCUCAUAAAAAUAGUCUCAGUUCGGAUUGUGGGCUGCAACUCGCCCACACGAAGUAGGAGUUGCUAGUAAUCCCGAAUCAGAACGUCGGGGUGAAAAAGGUCCCGGGUCUUGUACUCUCCGCCCGUCA